rnacentral:tRNA from 1 species
UCCCUUGUAGCUCAGUUGGUAAAGAUCUGCCUGCAAUGCAGGAGACCCAGGUUCAAUUCCUGGGUUGGGAA